rnacentral:rRNA from 1 species
AUGUGGUGGAGGGCGGUGGCCAGGGCUCGCCGCCGGAUCCCGGGAGCGCGGCCCGUGUCGACGGCGGCGGCGGGGAAGAGCGGCCGCGAGGUGGUGGUGCCGCGGUUCGGCGGGCCGGAGGUGCUGCAGCUGAGGCAGGGGGUGCCCGCGCCCGAUCUGAAGCCCGGCGAGGUGCUUGUGCGCGCGCGCGCCGUCUCCAUCAACCCCCUCGACUUGCGAAUGCGGGCUGGCUAUGGCCGUUGCAUAUUCGAGCCACUCCUACCUCUCAUCAUUGGCCGGGACAUCAGUGGUGAAGUCGCAGCUACAGGGACUUCUGUGUCGUCAUUCUAUAUUGGGCAAGAAGUGUUUGGUGCCUUGCAUCCAACAGCGAUUAGAGGGACAUGUGCUGAUUAUGCAGUUCUUUCACAGGAUGAGCUUACUUCUAAACCAUCUACGCUCACUCAUGUGGAGGCCAGUGCAAUUCCCUUUGCUGCGUUGACUGCGUGGCGUGCUUUAUAUGGUACUGCUGGAAUUUCUAAAGGACAAAGAUUACUUGUGCUUGGUGGAGGAGGAGCAGUUGGGCUUUCUGCUGUUCAGCUUGCGGUAGCUGCAGGGUGUAGUGUUUCAGCUACCUGUGGAGCCCAAAGUAUUGAGCAAGUUUUGGCAGCCGGUGCUGAAAAGGCUAUUGAUUACGCCACUGAGGAUACUGAAUCAACAGUUACAGGAAAGUUUGAUGCUGUGUUAGACACAAUAGGAGUAGCUGAAACUGAAAGAAUUGGUAUUAAUCUUCUGAGAAGAGGCGGACAUUAUAUGACCCUUCAGGGAGAGGCAGCUUCACUAGCAGAUAGAUAUGGAUUAUAUGUGGGACUUCCUGCUGCUACCGCUACUUUACUGAAGAAACAGAUGCAGUAUCGUUGUUCUCAUGGGAUAGAGUACUGGUGGACAUACAUGAGAGCUGAUCCUGACGGUCUCCAUGAGAUCCAGAGGCUGUCCGGAGCUGGAAAACUACAGAUACCUGUGGAGAAGACUUUUCCUAUCAGCCAAGUAAGAGAAGCUCAUGAGGCCAAGGAGAAAAGACUGGUGCCUGGCAAGGUGGUUCUAGAGUUCGACUAG